GGACGAGAGCAGGCUGGAGUCAUGGAUCAGGGAGAUGGAAGAAGAUUUGACAACCAUUCAUGGUCACUGUGACAGCCCUUUCAAUUCUUCAGGAAAUGGACCAGAGCUCUUCUGACUCUACAGUGAUCCUUGAACUAAGUUCCGUCCCUGAAAAGGAGGACAUAAGUGUUCCUGAACUCAAGCGAGCAGAAAGUGUAUUUGUUCAUCAAAAAUGGCGAGAAAGAAGUGGAGCACAGAGGAGGUCCAGGCUGUGGAGAGCAAUCUCAUGGACAACAUCAACUCUGGCAGGGUUCCUGGCAAAGCCCAGUGUGAAGCAUCUAUCAAGGGAUCCUCAGAGGUGCUUAGGGGAAGGAGCUGGAAGGCAGUUAAGUUCUAUGUGAAGAACCGCAUUGACACUUUAAAGCGUCUAGAAAAUAACUAAUGGAAAUCUAAAUUGUAAUCACUGAACAUAAUUCCUUUUUGCCAUCUAAGUUCUUCUACAAUCCCACAACUAGGUACAGCGCUAACUUCAAUUCAGCUCAUAUCUGAGCAUGCAAAGACAUUUUAUUAAGAUUGUUAUAGCUCUUUUGUUUUCAAAUUUAAUAUGUCAACAUGCUCUGACUAUUAUUUCAUUGAGUGAUGUAAUUUAAAUUUUUAUCCUAAAGAACAUUGUGGUAGUGGGUCAUGGGUGGUUCGAGAAAUGGAGUUAGAGAGAGACACAGGUUGUAGAGAGAGUGAAAGGUUUUUAGAGAGAGAC